rnacentral:tRNA from 3 species
GCCCCUGUGGGCUAGCCAGGAUAUGCUUGCGAACUGCGGAUUCGCAGACUCGGGUUCAAAUCCCGACAGGGGCACCA